ACAUCCAGAGAAUUUAGCAGAGAUGCUUUAGUGCCUUCGGGAACUCUGAGACAGGUGCUGCAUGGCUGUCGUCAGCUCGUGUUGUGAAAUGUUGGGUUAAGUCCCGNAACGAGCGCAACCCCUAUCCUUUGUUGCCAGCGAUUCGGUCGGGAACUCAAAGGAGACUGCCGGUGAUAAACCGGAGGAAGGUGGGGAUGACGUCAAGUCAUCAUGGCCCUUACGAGUAGGGCUACACACGUGCUACAAUGGCGCAUACAAAGAGAAGCGACCCCGCGAGAGCAAGCGGACCUCAUAAAGUGCGUCGUAGUCCGGAUUGGAGUCUGCAACUCGACUCCAUGAAGUCGGAAUCGCUAGUAAUCGUAGAUCAGAAUGCUACGGUGAAUACGUUCCCGGGCCUUGUACACACCGCCCGUCACACCAUGGGAGUGGGUUGCAAAAGAAGUAGAUAGCUUAACCUUCGGGAGGGCGUUUACCACUUUGUGAUUCAUGACUGGGGUGAAGUCGUAACAAGGUAAGCGUAGCGAG
rnacentral:rRNA from 1 species